GACGAGGGGGCUAGCGUUGUUCGGAAUUACUGGGCGUAAAGCGCGUGUAGGCGGUUGCCCAAGUCGGGUGUGAAAGCCUUGAGCUCAACUCAAGAAAUGCACUCGGUACUGGGUGACUAGAGGACCGGAGAGGAUAGUGGAAUUCCCAGUGUAGUGGUGGAAAUACGUAGAGAUUGGGAAGAACACCAGUGGCGAAGGCGGCUGAGUCUGGACGGUUUCUGACGCUAAGACGCGAAAGCGUGGGGAGCAAACAGGG
rnacentral:rRNA from 1 species